UACGUAGGGGGGCUAGCGUUGUCCGGAAUCAUUGGGCGUAAAGAGCGUGUAGGCGGCUCGGUAAGUCCGCUGUGAAAGUCCAGGGCUCAACCCUGGAAUGCCAGUGGAAACUGUUGAGCUAGAGUCCGGAAGAGGCGAGUGGAAUUCCUGGUGUAGCGGUGAAAUGCGCAGAUAUCAGGAGGAACACCAAUGGCGAAGGCAGCUCGCUGGGACGGUACUGACGCUGAGACGCGAAAGCGUGGGGAGCAAACAGG
rnacentral:rRNA from 1 species